CACGUAGGGCGCAAGCGUUGUCCGGAAUUAUUGGGCGUAAAGAGCUCGUAGGCGGUCUGUUGCGUCCGCUGUGAAAACUCAGGGCUUAACCCUGAGCUUGCAGUGGGUACGGGCAGACUAGAGUGCGGUAGGGGAGACUGGAAUUCCAGGUGUAGCGGUGAAAUGCGUAGAUAUCUGGAGGAAUACCGGUGGCCGAAGGCGGCAUCCUGGACCGGCAUUGACGGCGUGAGUGAGCGAAAGCCAGGGGAGCAAACGGGG
rnacentral:rRNA from 1 species